ACAGCAGUCGCCGCGGUAAUACGGAGGGGACUAGCGUUGUUCGGAAUUACUGGGCGUAAAGCGUACGUAGGCGGCUUUGUAAGUUAGAGGUGAAAGCCUGGAGCUCAACUCCAGAAUUGCCUUUAAGACUGCAUCGCUUGAACGUCGGAGAGGUGAGUGGAAUUCCGAGUGUAGAGGUGAAAUUCGCAGAUAUUCGGAAGGAACACCUGUGGCGAAAGCGGCUCACUGGACCAUAACUGACGCUGAUGCACGAAAGCUAGGGGAGCAAACAGGAUUAGAUACCCCCGUAGUCCCUGUCUCUUAUA
rnacentral:rRNA from 1 species